rnacentral:rRNA from 1 species
CCUACGGGUGGCAGCAGUGAGGAAUAUUGGUCAAUGGGCGGAAGCCUGAACCAGCCAAGUAGCGUGCAGGAUGACGGCCCUAUGGGUUGUAAACUUCUUUUAUACGGGAAUAACGCGCCUUACGUGUAGUGCUUUGCAUGUACCGUAUGAAUAAGGACCGGCUAAUUCCGUGCCAGCAGCCGCGGUAAUACGGAAGGUCCGGGCGUUAUCCGGAUUUCUUGGGUUUAAAGGGAGCGUAGGCCGGAUGUUAAGCGUGCUGUGAAAUGUCCGGGCUCAACCCUGGCAUUGCAGUGGAAACUGGCGUGCUUGAGUGCGGUGAAGGUAGGCGGAAUUCGUGGUGUAGCGGUGAAAUGCUUAGAUAUGACGAAGAACUCCGAUUGCGAAGGCAGCUUGCUGCAGCGGAACUGACGCUGAUGCUCGAAAGCGCGGGUAUCGAACAGGAUUAGAUACCCUAGUAGUC